UUGCCCUACGGGAGGCAGCAGUGGGGACUAUUGCGCAAUUUUCUUAAGCCUGACGCAGCGACGCCGCGUGAGGGAUGAAGGUUUUCGGAUCGUAAACCUCUGUCAGAAGGGAAGAAAGUGCGUGGUGCUAAUCAGCCGCGUAUUGACGGUACCUUCAAAGGAAGCACCGGCUAACUCCGUGCCAGCAGCCGCGGUAAUACGGAGGGUGCGAGCGUUAAUCGGAAUUACUGGGCGUAAAGCGCACGUAGGCUGUUGUGUAAGUCAGGGGUGAAAUCCCACGGCUCAACCGGGGAACUGCCCUUGAU
rnacentral:rRNA from 1 species